UUUUCAAUGAAGCAUCAUUUUAGAAUCUAGAACAGAACAAAGAAACCCAUCAAUGACCUCUGUCUGUCUCUGAAACCCAGAAUGGCUAUGCCUCAGUUCUGGCCAAGGAUUAGUGGAAUCAGGAUUAUGAUGAUCUGAAGGCACCAAAUCAGGUUUGAUUCAUAUCAACUCUGUUUAUUUGUUAUCAGUUGUUUACUUGUUUACAUUUUAUACAAGUUCUACAGUUUACACCAUUUAGAUGGACUGAAAUCACUGAAUCAGAUAUCAUGAAUCACUUGUGCUCUCUAAAAUCCUUCAAGGAUUAAUUCAAAUAUCACACAUCUGCAUUGUAUUUCGAAACGGUCCUUCUAAACUUAAUCUUGAUUUGAUCGAGUUCCACUCCCUUCUAAAACGGCAAUAGAUUAAGGAAUUGAUAUUACAUGCUUUGGAAUAAUGGAUCAAUAAAAGCUCUUGUUAAUAAGAGGACCGGUUCAACAGCACAUUUCCUUCAGUGUCCUUCAAAAACUUGACCUUGAUUUUCUUAAGACUGGCUAGAGCCUCUUGCAUAUUUACCCUCUCCUCUGAUGAUUCGGCAGAACAUGAAAGAGCCAAUCGCAAAAUGGAUGCUAAACACUCCUUAACAGUAUCAUGAUCUUCCUCUGUCCCAAGUAAAUUGGUAUCAACAGCUUCAGCUAUCGCAUCUGCAGAUAGUGAGUUUGCAACCCAUUGCUUUAAACUCAUCUCCCCAACAAACAUUUCAUCUGUUGGCUUCCUUCUUGUGAAUGUUUCCAUCAAUACAAUCCCAAAACUAUACACAUCCCCUCUUCUAGUGACAAUCCCUUCUCUUCCGUACUCUGCAAUAUAUGAUCAAACAAAUUCUUUAGGAUAUAUAACAACAGUAACGGUAUACAUAAAGUUGAAAGAUAAACUAACAAUAGUACAUCACCUGGAGCCAUAUACCCAAUUGUCGCUAGGGUCAUGGUUUGAGUCAUAGAAUCUCCUCCACCCAAGAGCUUUGCAAUGCCAAAAUCAGCAACAUGUGCACACAAAUCAUCAUCUAGUAAUAUGUUGCUGGGCUUCAAAUCACAAUGGACAAUAGGUGUUUCAUAACCAUGAUGAAGAUACUCCAAUGCUGACGCGACAUCUAUCAUUAUGGUCAACCUUUGCAGGAUGUUCAAGAAAAUGUUCUGAGAAUACAAGCACUUGUCAAGGCUGUCAUUAGACAUGUAAUUCAGUACAAGAGCUUUGAAAUCAAUUUGACUGCAGCAACUGAUGCCUUUGGCAAGAUUUCGGUGACGAAUAUUGCUUAGCAUCUCACAUUCAGCCUCAAAACUUGUGGAAGCCCCUUCCAAAGUCAAGUUAAAAACCUUGAUGGCAACAUCUAAACCAUCCGACAGUGUCCCUUUGUAUACAGUACCAAAACCCCCAGUGCCGAGUAAGUUGCUUUCGUUGAACCCAUUUGUGGCACUUUGAAGUUCUAGGUAUGAAACUCUUCUCAAUUGAAAUUGAGUUAAGCUAGUAUCUGUCGCAGCUUUCACAUUCUUCUUUCUUCGUAAGAUCACUAUCCAAAUGGAUGUCACUAGAAAUAUUGCUGACAAGAU
rnacentral:lncRNA from 1 species